rnacentral:lncRNA from 1 species
AAUAAAGGACUUCUGAAUGACAUUCUUUACAAAAACCAAAAGCUGUGCAAACUGUUCAGCUAAUGUGUGAUGUGUGCCAUGUAGUAAGCAUGUUCCUCUUCAUUAUAAUUUUAUAUAAGUGAUUCCAUGAUCAGCAACAAACACAUGGAAAUACCUGAGGAGUAAAGAGGGACUGUUUUUGUUCUUUAAGCUUGGAUAACAUUGACUUCUUUAGCAAAACUACAGAAAGGAUCAAAAUUUUUUUCAUCUUCUCCAGUGCCAUGGUUUGGCUAGCUCUCUUCUUACUCAUACGCCUUCUCAGUUUUCAGGUGAAUACAAUUUUAGCUGCUCUCUUAUGGCAAGCUUUCUUCCGUUUGAUGCUGUGUUGUACAGGUACAGAUUUCUGACAGCUGCAAAACAUGCCUCAAAUGAUACAUGGAGUGUUGGUGGUACGUCAAGCAAAACCACUGAAAAUCCCCAGUGUUCAUGAAACUGUAUACAAGGAGACCCCUGAUGUCAUAACCCCCCUGGGUUCAUAAAAGAUAGCUUUGCAGGCCUGCAAGGAUAGCCUCCCUGUGGUUUUGGAGGUCUCAAAAAAUAAUCUCUGCUAUUAUUUUUAUAACAAGCAAAGUUUGCCUCUCUUUCCAAGUUUAUGAGCUUGACAACAUAAACGGAUAUAACACUUCACCACUGGGAUUGAUAUCUUGUCACAGUCUUUUCUUAAAUAGUAAUUUCCCCUGAAGAUAUUCUUGUCCCUUUUGGCGGUCUCCUGCGUUUCUCUUUUUGCAAUAUGUGAAAACAUUGGCUCCAGCUGGUCUCUUUUCUGGAAAGGCCUUAACACAGCUGGUGACUAUAAGGGGAAACGUCAUCUGAUGGCCACAGAAGAGCUUGAUGGCUGUUGCCAGCUUUGUGAUCUGUUGGGGUUUCUGCUGCUGGUCUGUGGAGAGAGGCUGCUUGCUCUUGUGAACUCUGCGUCUGCCUAGUGGACGUAUCCCUAGAGCAGGAACAUGGGUGUCUGCUGCCUUGUCCCAGCUGUGACAAACAUCUUCUUUGCAGCCUCAGAGCUCCCAAAGAUGCCUUGAAGAAUUUGCUGCAUUUCUGGGCCCACAGGGUGAUAUGGAGAACACCAGUUGGUAAUCACAGCUUUUUAAGCUGUCUGAAAGGAAAAUCCUUCCCAUAUCCUUUCCAGCAUUGGAUGGAAAUGCAAGGACCCAUUU